rnacentral:rRNA from 1 species
GACGAACGCUGGCGGCGUGCCUAAUACAUGCAAGUUGAGCGCUGAAGGUUGGUACUUGUACCAACUGGAUGAGCAGCGAACGGGUGAGUAACGCGUGGGGAAUCUGCCUUUGAGCGGGGGACAACAUUUGGAAACGAAUGCUAAUACCGCAUAAAAACUUUAAACACAAGUUUUAAGUUUGAAAGAUGCAAUUGCAGCACUCAAAGAUUAUCCCGCGUUGUAUUAGCUAGUUGGUGAGGUAAAGGCUCACCAAGGCGAUGAUACAUAGCCGACCUGAGAGGGUGAUCGGCCACAUUGGGACUGAGACACGGCCCAAACUCCUACGGGAGGCAGCAGUAGGGAAUCUUCGGCAAUGGACGAAAGUCUGACCGAGCAACGCCGCGUGAGUGAAGAAGGUUUUCGGAUCGUAAAAAUCUGUUGGUAGAGAAGAACGUUGGUGAGAGUGGAAAGCUCAUCAAGUGACGGUAACUACCCAGAAAGGGACGGCUAACUACGUG